AGCAUGGUAUGGUUAACAAAGAAACAUUACUCAUCUCGCUAUAAAAACUCCAGACCAUUUGAAUAUAGAAAAUCGUCAGCUGAAUCAGUCAGGCGUGCUCGACCGAGCUUCAUACCACUUAUAGUGGAACCGGUCGAGACUGGCAAGAGGAUUGUUAAGAUAAAAAAUCAUAAAAUAGCAGUUCCUAUGGAAUGGAAAGUUGUAAAUCUGGUGGAUCGAAUAAAGAGCAUGUUUGAUGAAAGUACAUUAACGGAAAGUGAGAGUAUAACUGUACAUCUUGGGGAAUCAGGAACUUCUCCUUUACCGUCCACUACAUUGGGAGAUCUUUAUCAUGAGCACCAUGACGAAGAUAUGUUCCUGUAUGUUCAUUAUCAAGUACAAGACUUUUCUGGAUGAAUGGCUGGGACGCUCUUCUUUUAUUUGAUUUAUCAGUUUUAUCAUAGAUGUGUUAAUCAAAUGGUACAGACUGGGAAGAUUUAACACGACGUAUUUUGAGCGUGAUAAAUGACUAUCACGCGAUUAUCCCGAGAUAAUCAUUUAUCAUGCGAGUUGUUUUAAAUGGAUAUAACCAGUACCAUUGGUUUGAUUUGGUGAUUAUCAUCACGUUUAAAUGAUAAACCUAAAGAUACUUCGUUAUGAGCUACAUGUUGAUGUUAUGUUGAAAAUUAUAGUGACUACUUCGGUUCUAACAUUUAUUUAUUAUUUGAUUAUCACACAUCUUUAUGUCUAGACGAGUUUUCGUAUAUUUUGUCUAGAAAUACGAAUUAAUUGGAUGGUUAAUUUAAUUGGGUGUAAUUGUGUUAAUAGUCUGAUUUUGUACGAAUCCAGGAUUCCAGAGGGCAAAUAUUGCCAAGGGGGAAUUGGGGGUCCUUCACAUAAUACGUAAUCACUGGUAAGUAAGGGAAU